CCUGGCCUUGACAUACUAAAAAGCUUUAAGAGAUUAGAGUGUGCUAGCUUGCUAGAAUUUAGAUACAGGUGCUGCACGGCUGUCGUCAGCUCGUGUCGUGAGAUGUUGGGUUAAGUCCCGCAACGAGCGCAACCCUCGUGUUUAGUUGCUAACAGUUCGGCUGAGAACUCUAAACAGACUGCCUACGCAAGUAGGAGGAAGGUGAGGACGACGUCAAGUCAUCAUGGCCCUUACGGCCAGGGCUACACACGUGCUACAAUGGGGUAUACAAAGAGCAGCGAUACGGUGACGUGGAGCAAAUCUAGAAAAUGCCUCUCAGUUCGGAUUGAAGUCUGCAACUCGACUUCAUGAAGCUGGAAUCGCUAGUAAUCGCAGAUCAGCCAAGCUGCGGUGAAUACGUUCCCGGGCCUU
rnacentral:rRNA from 1 species